CCUACGGGAGGCAGCAGUAGGGAAUCUUCCACAAUGGGCGAAAGCCUGAUGGAGCAACGCCGCGUGGGUGAAGAAGGUCUUCGGAUCGUAAAACUCUGUUGUUAGAGAAGAAAGUGCGUGAGAGUAACUGUUCACGUUUCGACGGUAUCUAACCAGAAAGCCACGGCUAACUACGUGCCAGCAGCCGCGGUAAUACGUAGGUGGCAAGCGUUAUCCGGAUUUAUUGGGCGUAAAGGGAACGCAGGCGGUCUUUUAAGUCUGAUGUGAAAGCCUUCGGCUUAACCGGAGUAGUGCAUUGGAAACUGGGAGACUUGAGUGCAGAAGAGGAGAGUGGAACUCCAUGUGUAGCGGUGAAAUGCGUAGAUAUAUGGAAGAACCCCAGUGGCGAAAGCGGCUCUCUGGUCUGUAACUGACGCUGAGGUUCGAAAGCGUGGGUAGCAAACAGGAUUAGAUACCCCUGUAGUC
rnacentral:rRNA from 1 species